GUCCGUGUGGCUGAGAGGUGAGGCACAGGCCAGCAAAGCCUGGUACAGCGGUUCGAGUCCGCUCAUGGACA
rnacentral:tRNA from 1 species